rnacentral:lncRNA from 1 species
CACGCCGUUGCCUGCUUCUGUCUCACAUGGUCCAACCCUGUCUGUCAAUGAAUUGAAGGUCCCAGUGUCCACAUUUCCCACUUUUAAAAGGACACCCAUCACUGGAUCAAGACCUACCCUAAUCCUGUACGGUCUCAUCGUCACUACCUGUGUGUUCACCUUAUUUCUGGAUAAGGAUGUAUUUGACAUGAAAUAUGGGGGGUACAACACUGAGCCCAGAGUAUGCGUAUGCCUGUGCCGUCUAUAUCUUAUCAUCAAUUCAGUGGUCCUGGCUUCCACGUGUAACUCCAAAGUCUCCCCACCAGGGAUCAGAUUCUAUCGCCAGCAGAUUCGGGGUUGCCAGCAAGCCCCUCUGUGUCCCUCACGCCACCGAUUUCGGCUGUCUCGGUUGUUGAUGUUCUCUGGGCCUUCAUCUCAGAACCGCAGAGGGAAGGGCUCUGGGACAUGUCAUCUCCCGCCUCACCAUGCUCACGACAUCCAGUAGAACAAGCCAGACACUACCUUUAAUCUUCAUGCCACAAGGUUUCUCCUCUCGAUGCGUCAUGACUGAUGAAUAACCAAGAUAAAGGGCAAUCAGGAGAGGUCAAAAUAAGAACAUAAUCCAAGGACACUGUCAGCUUUCCAACAUCCCUGCACAUUUACUAAUUUCUGUGGGGAACACAGGUGUGGUAUACAGCAGCAACAAGCAAAUGUAAAGAUACAUCGUUCAAUCAUAAAGACUGAAAGGAAAGGUAGAUACAGAGUCAGAAUUUCCAAUAUCCACAAGAGAGGACAAUAUAUAUACACAAAUCACUUAAUACCCCUGGGGCCAAAGACACUGUAAUGGAAAUGAGAUAAGUUUUAUAUAACUGUACAAUUUUUUUCAUUUGUGAAAUAACAAAAUAUAUUUCAUACAAAGAGUGCGUAGAGGAAUAUUUUAUUUUAGGUAUUCCUGUCAGCAACAUGCAGGGGAAACGAAUACAACAGAGAUCCCUGUUAUGGAUGAGGCACUUACGAGGCACAACCGUGCUUGUAACAAAUAAAGACUGCUGUCCAGCCCUGAGUUUCUAUGUA